AUGGGAAAUGGUUGUAAAAUAAUUAGGUGAAGAAAGCAAGUUUCACAAUUGUAGGUACUGAUUCGUACUAUAAGGUUACAGCCAUGUUAAAACAUAUGCAGGAAAAUAACAAGGAAGGAAGUGCACUAAAAUCCCAACAAUGAUUAUAAUUAAGGUGAUGUACUGGUUAGCUCAUCUUUGACAAAAGAGCCAAGAACAUACAACGGGGAAAGCAAAGUCUUCAAUAAAUGGUGCUGGGAAAACUAGACAGCCACAUGCAAAAGAAUGAAAGUAGACCGCUAUCUUACACCACACACAAGAAUUAACUCAAAAUGGAUUAAAGACUUGAAUGUAAGACCUGAAACCAUAAAACUCCUGGAAGAAAAUACACUACAUAGUACGCUCUUCGACAUCUGUCUCAGCAGUAUCUUUUUGAAUAUGUCUCCUCAGUCAAGAGAAACAAAAGAAAAAAUAAACAAGUGGUACUACAUCAAACUGAAAAGUUUUUGCACAGCAAAGGAUACCAUCAACAAAUGAAAAGACAACCAAACAACUGGGAGAAGAUAUUUGCAAAUCAUAUAUCUGAUACGGGAUUAAUUUCUAAAAUAAAUAAAAAACAUAUAAUUCAACAACAAAAGACAAACAACCUAGUUAAAAAAUGGGUAGAAGAUCUGAACAUUUUUCCAACAAAGAUAUACGGAUGGCCAAUAGGCACAUGAAAAGAUGUUCAACAUCACUAAUUAUUAGGGAAAUGCAAAUCAAAAUCCUAAAGAGAUAUCACCUCACACUCAUCAGAAUGGCUAUAAUUAAAAAACACAAGAAAUAAGUAUUGGAGAAGAUGUGGAGAAAAGGGAACCCUUGUAUCCUGCUGGUGGGAAUUUAAAUUGGUGCAGCCACUAUGGAAAACAUUAUGGAGAUUCCUCAAAAAAUUAAAAAUAGAACUACCAUAUGAUCCAGCUAUUUGACUUCUGGGUAGCUAUCCAGAGAACACUAAAACACUAAUUUGAAGAGAUAUAUGCACCGACAUCUGGACGACAGCUGGACUCAAAGUGUGGUCCAUGGACUGGUAGCCUCAGCAUCUCCUGAGAGCCUGUUAGAAAUGCCGAGUCCCAGGCCCCGCCCCAGACCUCUGCAUUUUAACAAGAUCCCCAGGUUGCUUUAGAAGCAUUCUCUGAAGGAGGAAAAGUGUGGCCCCAGGUCUCCAUAAUGAGAAGUGGCUUGAAGCUAGAGAGUGGCCAGGCUGUGCAGGGCGCAUCUCACACCUCAUCUCAUCUAAUGACUGGCCUGAAAGCCCAGAAGUCUCAAUUACAGCUCGCUGGACAGAGGGUGAUUAUCAAAUUGAAGAGAACAUGGCAAAUUAGUUAAGCUCAUGCUUGGGCCUCAUCGGCACCUCUGAGUACCAGCGCCUGCCUAGAGCCUCUCCUCCCGCCUCCAUGGGGAAAUGAACACUAACGCUUGACUUGUUUCGGAGUUGGGCUGCUUGGCGUGUGUGGCCUUGUUUUGGCAAGAACUUGGGAAAGGGCCUUGAUUCACACACACAGAGAUAACUGUUUUAAGACGCAUGUGCUUCCAAUCAAGAUGCCACCCAGCUCCCUGCCAUUCCUGCUGCUGAGCUGCGUGCAAGCUCAGGGUCCCCAUAGGGAGGGACCCGGGGCGCCUGGAGUAAGAGUACUGGGUGGUGCUAGGCUGUGUGAUCUGGGUAAGUCACUUUGCCUCUCCGCACCUCAGCUUCCUCAUAUGUGAAAUGCAGAUAAUAACGAAACCUCAGAGGAUUUUUAGUUAGGAACAAAUUAAUCUGCAUGAAGCUCCUAGAAUAGUAUCUGGCACAAAGAACAUGCAUAAUGAAUGUUAGCUAUUUCUAUUUUUAAGAAAUCAGAAAUCCAGAUUUAUAUGAAAUAUUUAGCUUUUAAAGCACUGGCAACAAAUUAAAAAAGAAAAAAACCAAAACAUCGUGUAGGCUAAAAAUCCUGAACACACGGGUAGGCUGAACUUGCCUGUGGGCGCCAGUCUGCACUUUCUGGUUUGAAUGGCACUGCGGUUCUCUUGCCCUCGCAACGAGUAGGAAACAAGCAGUUUUCCCUGGUUUUCUUGGGGCGAGUCAGGCUCCCCUGCUUCAAGUCUGGCAAGCUGCAAACACAAACCAUGUUCUCUCCCUCCACAACCCCCACGAGGUGGCCCACACUGCCGGUCAGGACCCGGCCACUGGGCAGAUCCCCAGUACCUUCUGAGACGUCUGCCUCUUCUGGACUCUAACAAGGCAGAACCAGUGGGGCCACCUAUGGGGUCUUAUAAGGCUGGGUUCCCAUGCUGAGGUCUGCUGGGGACUAAAGGGGGCAAUUGUGAGAGGAAGUGUUUGCAUGACUUCCUCUGGGUCGGGGGGCAUGCACGGGAGUGACAGUGGAGAGGUGCCUCUGGGGUCUUACUGAGGCUGCCUGGCGUUGAGGAGAGCUCUCAGCUGCGAGUCUCAUGGCCUGGGUUCUCGUCCUGCCUCUGUCGACUGCCUCCUCUCCUGGAGUCUCAUUUUUCUCAUCUAUACAAUGCGGCUGAACCCCCUACUGCACAAGGACAACCAGAAGAAAUGCCUUGACAAGGUGCUGUUCAGGAGUAAUAAGCUGUCAGUUCUGUCUUUGGAGCUGAGGUGGGAGGUAGCAUGCCCUGGCGGCCGUGGGACAGGAGGUAGACACUGCCAACACUGGGCUGUCGUAGGAGGCUCUCUCAAGAGGGCUGGGAAGGGACAUUUGUGCCAGCCCAGAGGAAUGGUGCAGAUCUUCUUAAUUUUCUUGAUGUCACUGUCUUCGUCGUCAGAGGUAACAGUCUGUGUGGACUGGAUGCGCUCAC
rnacentral:lncRNA from 1 species